rnacentral:lncRNA from 1 species
GCUGUCGCCGAGCGUCGGAGCCCGAGGGGCCGCGGCCGCGCGCCGCGGGGGGAGGAGACGGUCUGGAGUCCCCCCGCUGCGCCGGGGUUGGGGAGACGGAGGACUGCAGCGCCCCUUGGGGCUUCUGAGGCGCCCAGGUAACCUCACCUGGCCGCCAGUCUCCCGCAGGAGGAACAGACACGUUGGUUCCACACCGAACCUAUUAACAGCUCAACUUCAAAUAUUUGAGGUGGGAUUGCUGUUCACUAAGGUUAUAUGAGCCAGCUUGGUUACUAAAUGUGAAAAUGCAUAUUUUUCAGCCUGUGGCAAAGUGGCAACGUCAGGGCAGAAGGAUGUAACUGAUAAAAGCUGCUCACACCUAAGUAGCCAGGAAACAGAGAGAAAUGGAGACAAAUAUAUGAUACAGCCUACCAAGACACAUUCCUAGUGACCUUCCCAUCUUUGGCUUUCCAACAAUUCACAAGAACACCCUUAAUUAUGAAUUCAUCAACAAAUCAAUUAAGUCAAAGCUCCCAUGAUGUAAUCACUUCCCUAUAUCCUCCCGUUGAACAUCCUCACCAUUGAAAACCAAGCCUUCAACACAUGAGUCUGGGCACAGUAAGUCAUAUCGAAUACAUUGAAGAUGUAAAUUUUAACGGUUGAAAAUGACAAGCAUAUUUUGUCUGUGAAAGUCAGCAAAAGGGAAUAUGGAAGAGAAAGCAUACUAAAGCUAAGGGUUCUGGAACGCAUAUAUGCUCUCCCUAUCAAUGUGGAGAGUGAGACAAGGAAGGCUUAAGUUCAGGGCCAGCCUGGACUAUGUAAAGUAUGCUACCAUUGAUUAUAUAAUCCAACUCCAGCAUCACAAAAAGUAGAGUAAAUACAAGAAAAAAAUGACUUUAGAAGUAUCAAGAUAUUAUGACUCAUUCAUAUGAUUUGUGCAGUUGAUUUAGUAUGGCUUAUGAUUUAGUAAUCAAAAUGGAUGAAGAUGAUAUAUAUACAUUAAUAAGAAUAAAUAUGUGAGACUGAACACAGAAUGUCCACCAGACACUGGGCAGUAAUUAGAUUCAACUCUCGUAAAAAUGUUCAACAGGAAAAAAAAAAAAACCAUAACUUUGCUUUAUACUUGGAUACUUUCAGUCAUACAGGUAAUGGAAUAAAAUGAAAGGAAAAUGCAGAUGGGAUCUGAGGGCCAGCCUCCUAUUAUACUAUUAUAUUGUAGUGCAGA